GGAAAACAAAAAUCUAGGUCUGCCUCAGGUUAUUAUAAACUGAGAAUUGAUAGGCAGUCUCAAUUGCCUGUUGCUAAGCAGCCAAGAGAAUUGGUUGACCAUACCCUUGUCCUUUUUUUUUAAAAAAAAAAAAAAAAAAAAAAAAAGCAGAAAGCUUUGUGUGUGUUUGUGUGUCCACGUGCAUGUGUUAGGAGCAUGUUAAAUAACAUGUAAAUGUGUUAGAUUGCAGAACUGAGAUUUGUGAGUUGUUUUUUUUUUUGAUGAAUGUGUUUGGGAGGUGCUACUGCAUGGGUGAUGCCAGGUCCCAGGCAGACAGAAUAACCCGUGCUUUAAAAGAAAAAUAAGGACGGAGAGAAAAGCCAGAGAGAGACUCUGUCAUGUCGGUGAGGGCAAACAGCACUUUCUUGGGUUUGAAGGGUCCCUUUAGGAUGUGAUUUUGCAUGUCCCUGAAAACCUGUGAUGGUCGCAAGGACUGAAGCCCAAUGAACCAGCACGAGAUGGCCGCCGGUCCAGGAGUGCCCCCGGGCCCGGAGAUGCUCGGCAUGCAACGGGGGGCACCCGCAGGGGAUGGACGCCAGGCCAGCCACACGGCCAAGCAGGGUCCAGCCACCCCGGCCCCCUCCUUCCCAGAGCACAGGCCUAAAAAUAGACAUAAUCAGGUUUCAAAGAGGAAGCGAAGCAAACGGGUCAAGUGUCGUGACCUCAGGCAUGCUCCGAGGCUGCUUUUCUCCCACCCUGGCUCUCCUCCGCUGGGCCUCCCGGCGCCGUUUCCGGACCAGAAGUGGCCGAGCUGCGUGCCCUGGGCACGGCCGUCAGCAGUGACCUCUGGAAUGCUGAUGAAUUACCUGGGAGAAAACAUCUCAUCUGGCUGUUCUCAGAAAGUGAAAUGGGGUAAAACACGAAGAAUACAUAGCAGAAAGCAAAAGAGUGGUGACUGUAGGACUGAUCUGAUGUGUCUCCUCACCCCAACCCUCUCUCUAGCAACAACGAGUAGCAGAUGUUUAAGGAAAGAUGAGAAGCAGGGUAAAUGCAAAGUGAUCUUCUCCUUAUACAUCCUCCCAGCUUUCAGCACACAGUGCUUUUGGCAAAGUUGUGAGUGCCAGGGGAAAAUAUAUAUAUGAGAUCUUCUCUAAUUCUUCUUUCUGAUGCAUGAAUGUGGGAUUUUUGUCCCGAAUCCACAUGAGCUCAUUCAGCCACCAAGCAGGCUUUUCAGAAAGACGGCAUUAUCGCAAUAGCCAGAUCUUCUGUGCGGCUUGCCACAUGACUGCUGUGAGAGGGCAGCCUGCCAGGCUACCCAAAUCCAGCCAGGAAGCCCAUGAAACACCACUCAACAAGUCACGCUAACUCCAGCUUCCUAGUGGUUACAUUAAUGGUUGCGACAGUGACCACAGGCUGAACGGCGCGUGUUCCUCUGCGGUGUGAGAGCAAGGCCGCAGCCUCGUGUUGCUCCAUCCUCAGGGGCUGAAGGACCAGUAAUGGCUGCAGGGAUCGCUGCAGCUGGGUUAAGCAUCCCUAAUUUUUUUUUGUAGGCAAAGGAAAUGCCUGAAAAUGCCAGCGAGGCAGGUCAAGGAGAGGACGUGGCCAGCCCGAGGGGCAGCCCCAGGCUGUAACCCACACCGGAGACCGCCUGCUCGCUUUCCCGGCCUGAGCCGGCGGUAGGAGAGGCGGGGAAGACUUGGGGCAGCCUAAUCCAGCAUUAAAGUCCUGGCUAAUUCUCUCCUUCCUGAGGACACCUGAGACGCGGGGCUGGCGCGUGGGGGCCGGCGGCUGCUUCCCAGUUGGCUCCAACAGCUGCGAUCUGCAGCGCUCGUCUCCGGCAAGGUAUGGUUUCUAUGGGACUGGCACCCCAGGGUUGGGUUUCUGCUCCUGGGGGCCACCCCAGAACCUUGGGGAGGGAGGGAUGUGGCUUUCUGGAAGAAUGGAGAAGGAAUAUUUCAUGUAAGCAUCUCUCCUUGGUGCCAGGUGGGGGAUGCUAAACCUCUGUUUCCCUCCAGCAGCAUUGCUUGGGAAAGGGGAAAAGUGGUUCCACAAAGGAGAGGUCUCCUGUACCCCAAAUAUUGGACCUCCUAGGAUCCAGGAGGAACACGAUGUCCUGAGCACCCAGCACAGGGAGGAAGGCAG
rnacentral:lncRNA from 1 species